rnacentral:lncRNA from 1 species
AGUUGGCUGCGACCAGCGGUGACUUACAAGUUGGCUGCUGUCGCCUGCGCAUCGGCGGGCCGGGAGGCUGAGCAGUACUGUUGAGAGCGGUGUGAGGUGCUUGGUAGCGCGCCGUAGCUGCUUCCACGUCCUUGCUUCACCUCAGGUAAAGAAAGAUGUAACUGUUUGGAGAAAACCCUCAGAAGAAUUUAAUGGAUAUCUAAUUGCUGUGUGAUGCGUUACACUACUGCUGGUCAGCUUUGGAAUAUAAUUUCCCCAAGAGAAUUUGUUGAUUUCUCCUAUACUGUGGGCUAUAAAGAAGGGCUUUUAUCUUGUGGAAUAAGUCUUGACUGGGAUGAAAAGAGACCAGAAUUUGUUCGAGGAUAUAACCAUCCCUGUGGUUGGUUUUGUGUUCCACUUAAAGACAACCCAAACCAGAGUCUUUUGACAGGAUAUAUUCAGACAGAUCUGCGUGGGAUGAUUCCUCAGUCUGCGGUAGAUACAGCCAUGGCAAGCACUUUAACCAACUUCUAUGGUGAUUUACGAAAAGCUUUAUGAGAGGCAAAAUACAUUCAAACUUGUAGUACUACAGAUCAACUCUCUCAGCUACAUGGCCUGUAAAAAUCAUUGAUUCCACUUUUCUGCAUAGCCGGUAGAAAAAUUUGAAAUGUUUUUGGUUCACUAGUACAAUGUUUGGUUUUAUUCCUAAAGUAAAUAGCUAUCUAAGAGAGGGCAUUUUCACUUUUUUUUUUUUAAAUUUUGAGACAGGCUCUCACUCUGUUGCCCAUGCUGGAGGGCAGUGGUAUGAUCACAGCUCACUGCAGCUUUGAUCUGACCGCUCAAGGGGUUAUUCUACCUC